rnacentral:rRNA from 1 species
UACGGGGGAGCAAGCGUUGUUCGGAUUUACUGGCGUAAAGGGCGCGUAGGCGGCGCAACAAGUCACUUGUGAAAUCUCCGGGCUUAACCCGGAGCGGUCAAGUGAUACUGUCGUGCUAGAGUGCGGAAGGGGCUACUGGAAUUCUCGGUGUAGCGGUGAAAUGCGUAGAUAUCGAGAGGAACACCUGCGGCGAAGGCGGGUAGCUGGGCCGACACUGACGCUGGAUGCGCGAAAGCCAGGGAGCGAACGGG